rnacentral:sRNA from 1 species
AUAUCUCUCUGUACGGGAAGGAUGAGAAGCUUCGACUAAGGUUCGAUUCGAGCGAAAGCGAGAAAGCGUUGCCAACGGCAACGACCCGAAGGGCGAAGCGCG